rnacentral:rRNA from 1 species
GGGGGCCCGCACAAGCGGCGGAGCAUGCGGAUUAAUUCGAUGCAACGCGAAGAACCUUACCUGGGUUUGACAUGGCUUCUAAAGCCGCAGAGAUGUGGUGUCCUUCGGGGGGAGUCACAGGUGGUGCAUGGCUGUCGUCAGCUCGUGUCGUGAGAUGUUGGGUUAAGUCCCGCAACGAGCGCAACCCUCGUUCCAUGUUGCCAGCACGUUAUGGUGGGGACUCAUGGGAGACUGCCGGGGUCAACUCGGAGGAAGGUGGGGAUGACGUCAAGUCAUCAUGCCCCUUAUGUCCAGGGCUUCACGCAUGCUACAAUGGCCGGUACAAUGGGCUGCGAUACCGUGAGGUGGAGCGAAUCCCAAAAAGCCGGUCUCAGUUCGGAUCGGGGUCUGCAACUCGACCCCGUGAAGUCGGAGUCGCUAGUAAUCGCAGAUCAGCGACGCUGCGGUGAAUACGUUCCCGGGCCUUGUACACACCGCCCGUCACACCACGAAAGCCGGGAACACCCGAAGCCGGUGGCCUAACCCGCAAGGGAGGGAGCCGUCGAAGGUGGGUUCGGUGAUUGGGGUGAAGUCGUAACAAGGUAACCGUAAGGGC